rnacentral:lncRNA from 1 species
CCUAAACACACGGGUAAUUUGGGGUUAUCCAAAGACUGCAUUGUCCUUUGCUAUUACCCCAAAUCGAAUUGGGAUCGAUAAACCCUAAGUUUAGUGUAAUUCCAUUAACCUCGGUUUAGUGAUUCCGUUAAUCCGAUUAUAUUUUGUUACGCGGUUUCUUUGAUUCGACAAUUUUUAUAUACUUGAUGUAUUAAUAGACAACAAAUUAAUAAACCA